rnacentral:rRNA from 1 species
AGUGAACGCUGGCGGCAUGCCUAAUACAUGCAAGUCGAACGGCAGCACAGUAAGCUCUCUCCCCUACCGGUGGCGAGUGGCGGACGGGUAACGCAUACAUCGGCAUCUUCUUUUUCGUGGGGUAUAUCGUUGAGCCACUUCCACUAAUACCUCAUACGACCAACCGGUUAAAGCAGUGGUUCAUGGCACCUUUCCUGUUUUUAUUAGCCGAUGUCGCAUUAGCUAGUUGGCUGGGUAAAGGCACACCAAGCCUACGCACCGUAGCUGACCUGAGAGGAUGAUCAGCCACACUGGAACUGAGACACGGUCCAGACUCCUACGGGAGGCAGCAGUAGGGAAUAUUGGGCAAUGGGCGAAAGCCUGAUCGAGCCAAGCCGCGUGAGUGAAGAAGGCCUUCGGAUUGUAAAACCCUUUUGUUAGGGAAGAAAAAAUGUAGGAGUAACUAUGGACGUAUUGACGGUACCAAAACAGAAAGCAACGGCUAACUUCGUG